GUCGAAGUGAGGAGCAGAAAGCGUUGUUAAUGUUAGUUCUGGCCCGUUUGGACCCAAACUAAAGUGUAUCAGUAUGAAGCAGGCGGUGACGGCGCACUGAUUCACUCUCGGAGCUCGGUUCACUAAUGACCGAAUCACCGAGGAACCGACCAAAGAUAACUCACACCCGCACGGAGAAGAAGAACAAGAGGAGGAGAAGAUGAGCUGGAGUGGGGCAAAGAGAACUGCAUUCAGAUCAAACGGAUACGAGAGGUUACGACUCUCACUCACUCUCUCACUCGCACACAUCUAUACACACACUUCUUGACACAGAUCCCUAACUAUCAUUUCUGGUGUGUGUGUGUUACAGGUGGCCGAGUUGUUUGAGGAUCUGAAGAAUCGAGUGUCACAAUUCAACAUGCACAUCAGCGAAACUUCCUCUGACUACACCAGCACGCGCACACAGAAAUUCAU